rnacentral:lncRNA from 1 species
UUCUGCAGCUUUUCUCCAGAGGCACCUGCCAGAUCUCUAUCCCUGCUCAAACUCUCACUGCAGUGGCUGUGCACUGCUGUGGAUUUCUAGGAUAAAAUGUGACCCAGUAAAAUGCAUCUGCAAGUGGUAGAAGCAGGAAUGUUUGGGUUUUUUUUUCCUAACAUAAGUAAUUAUGCAGAGCUCAAGAUCCUUAGAAAAGCUGUGUUCUGGUAUGUUUGACACAAUCUGUACUGUGUUUUUAACUUUGAAUGUAGCUGUUAAUAUUACCUGCAGUAAAAUAUACCUGUUUUACUGAAGUGCUCAAUUAUGGGGUGUUUUAGUCACAUUUUUCUAACAUUUUCAGAUCUGCCUGAAUAGAGGGCAGCUGGCAUUGUUAAUUUCAUUAAGAAGAACACUUGAGACUGGCUGCUUGUUAUUAUGUUAAUUAUGUGUCCAAGCAGAAACUGGGAAGAUAAAUACCAGGAUACUUGGUUCCCUACUGCACUUGCAGUUAUCCAAUAUUUCAGUAUUUCCUAAAGAAGCCAAAGGAGGCCCACAAGUGUUGGUGAGAGAAGGAGGCAUUGUGUUGAACGAGAAGGUGUCAUAUCCCUCUGGAAUUGCUUCUCUGAUUCCCACUUUACCCAGCCAAGAGGAGCCCACUGUGUGGCAACCUCUGUGGAAAAUUUACUGAAGCAAAAGCCUGGAGGUCCUUGGCAGCUGAGCUAGGGGCUGUACGCACGUAAUAAGACAAGUGGUCUUCUCUGCAGUUCAAGAAGAGAGAAACAAGAGCUGGAAACCAAGAAGCAUUGUAUAAAGCACAGUAUGUGCUUGAUGAAGGAGGAUGUACUUCUGUUCAACAGCCCAUCCUUUAGUCGAAUGCAGGAAGAGCACAGCGCCUCCAAAACGGCUGAGCGUUGCUGUACACAGAGCAUGUGUUGGGAGAGCAGAGCAUCAGCUGGCCCUAAGUACAUCAGCUGGAAUUAGGUGGCUGUGGAGUGAGUAAGAUUGAAAUUCAGAGGCA